UACGUAGGCAGCGAGCGUUGUUCGGAGUUACUGGGCGUAAAGGGUGCGUAGGCGGUUGUUUAAGUUUGGUGUGAAAUCUCCCGGCUCAACUGGGAGGGUGCGCCGAAUACUGGAAUGACUAGAGUGCGGGAGAGGAUAGUGGAAUUCCUGGUGUAGCGGUGAAAUGCGUAGAUAUCAGGAGGAACACCGGUGGUGUAGACGGCUAUCUGGACCGUAACUGACGCUGAGGCACGGAAAGCGUGGGUAGCAAACAGG
rnacentral:rRNA from 1 species